rnacentral:rRNA from 1 species
AUGGAAGGCGACACGUAUAAAUGCUCACGUUGCAUCAGCACUGUUCCUAUGCCGAGAUACAAAAUAUCACUGAAUGCCAUCGAUGCAGACGCAAAAAGGCACGAAGACUCGCCAUUUGCUCGGUUCAUAUUUUGGGGCCAGCAGGGAGAAAUCCUCACAGAAAAGCAAGUACUGAUUUUAGUAGCAGAAGCCAACAGCAGGGCGGAGUAUACGCCACCCGAACUGACCGGUUUGGUUGGCAAAAAAUUUACUGUCAUUGCAACACGUACUAGAGACUCCCUCGACGGAGAGCAUAUGUUCUACCAGGUAGAAAGUACCGAACCAUUGUUCGAGCCAGCAAACCCAGAGAAUGCUCAACCACCGACCGAAGAAACACAGGGUGAAAAUGAAUCACAAGACAACACGCUUGAGGCCACACCCCCGCCUUCUCCUUCUGCUGCAAAGGAAGAAGAAAACGACUCAACAGGCAAGAGAAGGAAACGCAACGACCACCUUUCCAAUAAAAACAAAAGAGGAACAAAGAAAGACCUAUUCGGUCAGCAGCCAGCCCAUGCUGGCACCGGCAAUGCUACACGUACAAACAGUUUACAGGCUUUUACAGGUGGGUUAGUUUUUAUUGGUCAACAAGUGAGCGGGACGGCCCACCCCCCUGAAAAUCAGGGGGGAAGAGGUUUGUGA